UAUGGCCACACCACAUUGAAACACCAGUUCCUGUAUGAUCACUGAAGUUAAGCAACAUCAUCUGGUCAGUACCAAGAUGCGUGACCGCUUGGGAAUACCAGGGGUUGUAAG